GACGAAGGGGGCUAGCGUUGUUCGGAAUUACUGGGCGUAAAGCGAGUGUAGGUGGUUGUCCAAGUUGGAUGUGAAAGCCUUGAGCUCAACUCAAAGAAAUGCAUUCAGGACUGGGCGGCUAGAGGACCGGAGAGGAUAGUGGAAUUCCCAGUGUAGUGGUGAAAUACGUAGAGAUUGGGAAGAACACCAGUGGCGAAGGCGGCUAUCUGGACGGUUUCUGACACUAAGACUCGAAAGCGUGGGGAGCAAACAGG
rnacentral:rRNA from 1 species